UACGUAGGGGCAAGCGUUGGUCCGGAAUCACUGGGCGUAAAGCGUGCGUAGGUGGAUUAUUAAGUGUGACAUUAAAUACCUGUGGCUCAACCAUAUGGCUGUGUUGCAUACUGAUAAUCUAGAGGACAUGAGAGGCAAGUGGAAUUACUGGUGUAGCAGUGAAAUGCGUAGAUAUCAGUAGGAACACCAAUGGCGAAGGCAGCUUGCUGGCAUGUAUCUGACGCUAAGGCACGAAAGCGUGGGGAGCGAACAGG
rnacentral:rRNA from 1 species